rnacentral:misc_RNA from 1 species
GCUUAUUUUUUUAGCUUAUAAGUUCAAAUUAUAAGUUCAAAAAAUAUUAUAAACAAACAGUUCAACCUAAAUUUAAAGCUUAUAAACUAAGACAAACACCCUCUCAAUAUGAUCACUUUUUAAUUUUUUACAUAUUCAAUAAGUAAUAAGAAAAAGAGGCUCGAUUUUUAUCAUCCUGGCAUCUCCACUCCACUGCAAUUGGAUUUAACUAUCAAGGUUGGUAUCACCCUCUUUUCCUUACAUCUCCAACUUUUCUCACACCCUUCUAUCUUUCAUCCUUAAAGAUGACAUUAAUUUCCAAGAGCCUCAUGAUCCUCAUUGAUUGCAAAGAACAUAUUCAUUGAAAAAGAAAACCAAAAUCAGUAAAGGGGGAAAAUAAAAAGAGCAUACCUCCAUCAUCAUCGUCCUCAGUU